rnacentral:rRNA from 1 species
CCUACGGGGGGCAGCAGUGGGGAAUAUUGCACAAUGGGCGAAAGCCUGACGCAGCGACGCCGCGUGAGGGAUGAAGGUCUUCGGAUCGUAAACCUCUUUCAGCAGGGAAGAACGGUCACUGUGCUAAUCAGCAGUGAAUUGAUGGUACCUGCAAAGGAAGGACCGGCUAACUCCGUGCCAGCAGCCGCGGUAAUACGGAGGGUGCGAGCGUUAAUCGGAAUUACUGGGCGUAAAGCGCUCGUAGGCGGUAUGUCAAGUCAAGGGUGAAAUCCCCGCGCUCAACGUGGGAACUGCCUUUGAAACUGGCAAACUGGAGUGUGUGAGAGGAUAGUGGAAUGCCAGGUGUAGGAGUGAAAUGCGUAGAUAUCUGGAGGAACAUCAGUGGCGAAGGCGACUAUCUGGCACAUAACUGACGCUGAGGAGCGAAAGCGUGGGUAGCAAACAGGAUUAGAUACCCCGGUAGUC